UACGCCCUACGGGGGAAAGCAGGGGAUCUUCGGACCUUGCGCUAAUAGAUGAGCCUAAGUCGGAUUAGCUAGUUGGUGGGGUAAAGGCCUACCAAGGCGACGAUCUGUAGCGGGUCUGAGAGGAUGAUCCGCCACACUGGGACUGAGACACGGCCCCAGACUCCUACGGGAGGCAGCAGUGGGGAAUAUUGGACAAUGGGCGCAAGCCUGAUCCAGCCAUGCCGCGUGUGUGAAGAAGGCCUUUUGGUUGUAAAGCACUUUAACGCGAGGAGGAGGCUCCUUUAGUUAAUACCUAAAGUGAGUGGACGUUACUCGCAGAAUAAGCACCGGCUAACUCUGUGCCAGCAGCCGCGGUAAUACAGAGGGUGCGAGCGUUAAUCGGAUUUACUGGGCGUAAAGCGUGCGUAGGCGGCUUUUUAAGUCGGAUGUGAAAUCCCUGAGCUUAACUUAGGAAUUGCAUUCGAUACUGGAAAGCUAGAGUAUGGGAGAGGAUGGUAGAAUUCCAGGUGUAGCGGUGAAAUGCGUAGAGAUCUGGAGGAAUACCGAUGGCGAAGGCAGCCAUCUGGCCUAAUACUGACGCUGAGGUACGAAAGCAUGGGGAGCAAACAGGAUUAGAUACCCUGGUAGUCCAUGCCGUAAACGAUGUGCUACUAGCCGUUGGGGCCUUUGAGGCUUUAGUGGCGCAGCUAACGCGAUAAGUAGACCGCCUGGGGAGUACGGUCGCAAGACUAAAACUCAAAUGAAUUGACGGGGGCCCGCACAAGCGGUGGAGCAUGUGGUUUAAUUCGAUGCAACGCGAAGAACCUUACCUGGCCUUGACAUACUAAGAACUUUCCAGAGAUGGAUUGGUGCCUUCGGGAACUUAGAUACAGGUGCUGCAUGGCUGUCGUCAGCUCGUGUCGUGAGAU
rnacentral:rRNA from 1 species